rnacentral:misc_RNA from 1 species
GGGCAACUGCACAGUACCCCAUGUACGGUACGGGUCCCGGCGGCAUAUUGAGCGGAGCGGCAGCGGCGGCAGCAGCAUUCUACCCAUAUUUCCAAUUCGGGGAAGGCAGCGGUGGCGGCGGUUCGGGGCAGCAAGGGUAUGGGGUUCAGUACCCUCACCAUCUGUUUCAGUACUCAGCGGCCAUUAAUUCAACUGCUGCAACGACCUUCCCUCAGCACUAUGCUGCUCCUCCUAUGUCUCUGCCUCCCACGCC